CAAUCGCGGCUACCAUGCAGUCGAGUGCGCGUGCCGUAGCAAUACGGUAUGGCGCACGGCGCACGGGUGCGUAACACGUGGGCAAUCUGCCCUUCGAUGGGGAAUAACUCCGGGAAACCGAAGCUAAUUCCGCAUAACAUUCCCUGGACUCCGGUUUGGGGAUUCAAAGCAGCAAUGCGUCGAAGGAGGAGCCCGCGCCCGAUUAGCUAGUUGGUAGGGUAACGGCCUACCAAGGCUUUGAUCGGUAGCUGGUCUGAGAGGAUGGCCAGCCACACUGGAACUGAGACACGGUCCAGACUCCUACGGGAGGCAGCAGUGGGGAAUCUUGCGCAAUGGGCGAAAGCCUGACGCAGCGACGCCGCGUGGGGGAUGAAGCUUCUCGGAGUGUAAACCCCUUUCGACUGGGACGAAUGCCUCGCAAGAGGAGUGACGGUACCAGUAGAAGAAGCCCCGGCUAACUACGUGCCAGCAGCCGCGGUAAGACGUAGGGGGCCAGCGUUGUUCGGAAUUACUGGGUGUAAAGGGUUCGUAGGCGGUGUGGCAAGUCGGGAGUGAAAUUUCUGGGCUUAACCCAGAACCUGCUUCCGAAACUGCUGUGCUCGAGUGUGGGAGAGGCGCGUGGAAUUGCAGGUGUAGCGGUGAAAUGCGUAGAUAUCUGCAGGAACACCCGUGGCGAAAGCGGCGCGCUGGACCACUACUGACGCCGAGGAACGAAAGCUAGGGGAGCAAACAGGAUUAGAUACCCUGGUAGUCCUAGCCCUAAACGAUCAGGACUUGGGGUGCCACCCGUUCGGGUGUCGUCCCGGAGCUAACGCGUUAAGUCCUGCACCUGGGGAGUACGGUCGCAAGACUGAAACUCAAAGGAAUUGA
rnacentral:rRNA from 1 species